rnacentral:rRNA from 1 species
AGCCUCGGGAAACCGGGAUUAAGACCUCAUGAUAUCGGGUUAUCACAUAGUAAUCCGGUCAAAGAUUUAUCGGCAUGGGAUGGGCCUGCGUCUGAUUAGCUGGUUGGUGGGGUAACGGCCUACCAAGGCGACGAUCAGUAGCAGAACUGAGAGGUUCAUCUGCCACAUUGGAACUGAGACACGGUCCAAACUCCUACGGGAGGCAGCAGUGAGGAAUAUUGCACAAUGGGCGAAAGCCUGAUGCAGCAACGCCGCGUGAGCGAAGAAGGCCUUUGGGUCGUAAAGCUCUGUCCUUGGGGAAGAAACAAAUGACGGUACCCUUGGAGGAAGCCCCGGCUAACUACGUGCCAGCAGCCGCGGUAAUACGUAGGGGGCGAGCGUUAUCCGGAAUUAUUGGGCGUAAAGAGUGCGUAGGUGGUCUUGUAAGCGUGGGGCGAAAGGCAGUGGCUUAACCAUUGUUAGCCUUGCGAACUGUGAGACUUGAGUGCAGGAGAGGAAAGCGGAAUUCCUAGUGUAGCGGUGAAAUGCGUAGAUAUUAGGAGGAACACCAGUGGCGAAGGCGGCUUUCUGGACUGUAACUGACACUGAGGCACGAAAGCGUGGGGAGCAAACAGGAUUAGAUACCCUGGUAGUCCACGCCGUAACGAUG